CUCACGGAGACAGACGCAGACGCCGCACCCGCACGGCCGUAGCUAGCCCUAGCCGCCGCCCGCCAGGCACCAGCGGCCAGCCGGAGGCCCGGACGACUGGACUGCCAUUAUGCCAAAGCCGUCGUCGCCACAGGGAAGCGCUGGUACACCGUCGCGCCGGUACGCCGCUCGGCCCUUCUACAGUGUUCGUAGUCCCAGUUGUUCCGGCGAGUGGCGACUAUCAGCUUCAGAGCUUCCCCAAA
rnacentral:lncRNA from 7 species